rnacentral:lncRNA from 1 species
AAGGCCUUUUAAAAGGCUAGGGUGUAGGGGGAGGGGGAGCAGAUAUCUUCCCCCAUUCCCAAAUCCCCAGCUCAUAUCCCAUCUGCUCCCACCAAUGCUUAAGCCCCAGAAAGAUGAUCUCUAGGUAAUUGUUGAUCCUGACUGACGCUGAGCUGGGUGUGGGUGUGGGUAGGGCAGUGCAGGUUUGAACCUCACUAGACCCAGCCAUGAUCACAGGACCUUGAGGAAUGUCAAGUGGGAAGAAGUCAGUACAAUGUUGAAGAUCAACCAACAUGAGGGUGGAACCUGCAGGAUGUCCCCACCCAAGCCAACCCAUUCCUGCCUGUGAGUUCGUCCACUGCAAGACCAACCAACCAACCCGGCUCCUGCUACCCGACCACCUGUGAAACUACCGGAUGCUCCUGUUUAUCUGCCCCUCAAAUGCCAAUUUGAGUUGUCUUCGUCUUUCAUUUAUGCAUGGAGCAGGACAGGAAGUCCCUGACCAUUUCAUUGAUGAGCUGUGGCUUUCUGACCAUGCUCUGAGAGUCUGUUCCUAUCUCCAAGAUACCUUUCAGGAAACCAGUUAAGCUUCUUUUUUUCUGGGAUAGUGAGGUAGUUCAUGGGCUAAGAGCACUAGCUGCAUUUCCAGAGUACUAGGUUUGAGUCCCAGCACCCACAUAACAGCUCACAACCAUCUGUAGCUUCAGUUCUAAGGGAUCUAUUGCUCUUCUCUGGCUUCUCUGGGCACCAGGAACACUCAUGGUGUGCAGACAUACAUACAGGUAAAGCAGCCAUACACAUAAAACAAAUCUUUUAAAGUGUUUAGAUAAAUAAAGUUAAAAAGUUAAUUUUCUUUCACUUGGGGCAAGUGAGGUAGGAUCUGUGUAGUAGUGUAUUGUGCACAUGUGGUUCGUGCAUGGGUUUGUUGUAGUGUAUGUGUGCACGUGUGGUGUGUGCAUGGGUCUGCAUAGUAGUGUAUGUGUGCACGUGUGGUGUGUGCAUGCUCAUAUGAAGACUGGAGGUCAACACCAGGCGUCUUUCUGUAGUGCUCUCUACCUCUAUUUUUGAGACAUGGCCUGGAAAAUUGUGUGUCCUGGAUUGCUAGGCUGGCGUGGCAUCGAGCAUCCUGGCUUUAGAGUUGUUUUUGUAUUUAUUUUGUGCAUCUGGGUAUUUUGCUUGCAAGUAUAUGAUGUGCUCAUGAGAUCAGCAGAGGGCAUUUGGACCCCUGAGAUUGGAGUUAUGGAUAGUUGUGAGUCACCAUGGAGGAACUGGCAAUUGAACCUGGGUUUUAUGGAAGAGAAGCCAAUCAGUACUCUUAAGCACUGAGCCCUUCCCCCUCUCUCCUUUCUUCCUCCCUCCCUCCCUUUCUUAAAAUGUAGCCCUGGUUGCCCUGGAACUCCUGCUGUCAUUCUCAGGAACACUGUCCACUUCUUUGAGACACACGUGUAAUCCCGAGUCAGGAAGAUCUCAAGUUCAAGGCCAACUUGAACUACAUAGGAAGCUCCAGGUCAACCAGAGUUACAUAAAACUAUCCAGGAUCAAACGCCCACGAGACCAAGACAGGAAAUACAUGCCUUGCAGGUUAAGGACUGUGUGUGCAGUUAAGAGUUAGGAGUAAGUUCCUGUUUCUUAGAUCUGAUGUGAACUUUAAGUUUUUAAGACAUACACUAAACCUGAGGCCCCCUUCACACGAAUGGUUCUUCCUAUUUCUUUCCUUUCAUUGUUUUUUUUUUCUAACAAUGUAUCAUUUACAGGGGCAACUCUGUGUUAUCUCUCCUAUAAAAGGGACAAGAGGCCAGCAGGGCUGCUCUCUAAAAUUCCGUAGAGACAGCCGGUUGACCAGCCCUGGGUGCACCCCGAAGUACAGUUUGCUUUAGUCAGACAAUUGUGGACUUGGCUUUCCUCCUCACAAUUCUCAGGCUUAACUUAACAGCCAGAUGGUUUAUGGCAUAGAUGUAUAACACUUUAGUAUGCCAAAAGUCAUUACUCUGUGUACGUUUGCGAGUGUCAUGACACACAUGUGGAGGUCAGCUUCCAGGACUCAGUUCUCUCUUCCAGCAUCUAGUUUCCUGGCUUGAACUGAAACUUCAGCCUUGGUAGAAAGUGCUUUUCCUGGAUGAGCCAUCUCACCAGCUCUGUGAAUGACUUUUCAACAAAGCUUUAAAGGAGAAAGAGUUUUAUUGUAGUGAAGAGAUACCAUGACCAUGGCAAUAAUUUUUUUUAGAUCUUUAUUUAUUUAUAUUUGUGCACUGACAUUUUGCCUACAUGUGUAUCUUUCUGAAGGUGUCAGAAUUCUGGGAGCCAGAGUUACAGACAGUGGUGAGCUGACAUGUGGGUGCUGGAAAUUGAACCCAGGUCCUCUGGAAGAGCAGCCAGUGCUCUUAACCACUGAGCCAUCUCUCCAGCCCCUGACCAUGGCAACUCUUAUAACGGAAAAUAUUUAAUUGGGUCUUGCCGUGUGCCACACAUAGCAUAGCUUGAACAUAUACGACCUCAAAGCCCCACCUCCACAGUGACACUUCCUCCAACAAGGCCACACCUAAUAGUGCCACUUUGUGGCCCAAGCAUUCCGACACAUGAGUCUAUGGGGCCAUACCUAUUCAAACCACCAGAGGUCCCAAGUCCUACUUAGGGUGGCUGGCUGUCCUUAUUCACCUGUAACUGUAACUGUUAGAUCUUAUGGGUUGAUCCUGAGGGUGCGGGUUUGUAUUUCCAGUUACUCAGAAGGCUAUAUAUAGCAGGAGGAUUACAAAUUUAAGGCCCACCUGGUGAGUCAGUGAGAACCCAUUUCAAAUUAAAAGAAAACUGGAGCUAUACCUCAAUAGAGAGACAAAAAUGUUUUUUGUUGUUUUUGUUUUUCUCAGCAUAACUCUUGUCUUGACCUAAGAAACCCAUCAAAGAAGGAUAGGUCAGUUUUGUCAGGUCCCAAAUAAGACUCAGCAUUAGGUCUCAAACCAGUUAGCUGAGGUGCAUAUCAGCAUGCCCAAGCACACGAAAACCUCCAUGCUUACUGAGGCUAAACCUGUGGCUUCUCUCUGCUUUUCUCACUUCUGCCUCUACCCUAAACCUCUCCAGCUUAGGGGCUUCUCUUCCCUCCUUGUAGCUUUUGAUCCCUAUAUAACCUAGCCAUUUUAACUACACACUCUCUUGGUUCUUCUGUCUCUUGGAUCAAUCUUGGCUCUCUUGGUCAGCUUACCUCCAUCCCCUUUUCUCUUCCUCUCACUGUCUCUCUCCUCUAAUGGCCCAGUUCAGUAAUACUGGUCAUGUCUAGUCUACUACUUUCCCUGCUCUGGACUCCUCUAGAUACCUCUGGCUGCACUCUCCCUUGUAUAUACAGUCAUGUUCUCAUUUUCACUCUAGUUUGACUUAGCUAAGAAGCCUGGUCACUGCCACUCUCCACUCCUGCUACCCACUUCUAGCUCCUGCCAGACACUUCCCACUCAUAUUAGGCACUUCUCACUUUUCUCCUGUCAGUCACCCUCACAUGUAGCUCGCCCCUUGAUCUCAUAUAGGAUUUUUUUGAGAGACAAUAUGAUAUCAUGUAACCUAACCUGGCUAUUAAGAAUCUAUGUAGUCAUGGAUGGAAUUGAAUUCUGGAUCCUCCUUACCUCUAGAAGUCACUGUGAUUAAUGUGUAGGGCACUAUGAUUGGCUUAUGUGGUGCUGGGUUGGAACCCAGAGCUUUGUGCAUAGUAGGCAAGCACUCUAACCAGCUGAGCUCCAUUCCUAGCCACAACUUGGAGACUUAAGCAGCAUCAAGAAACUAGCUCAGAUGAGCAAACCCACAUUCACAACUACCACCCAUUAGAUCUGAAACCUUGUGUCUGUGAUUGAUAUAGAGACUGUUGCCCCUAUGUCACAGGGUGUCAGCUCCUCUCUAGAGAAACAAUGGAAGCAGGCCUCAAAAUUCUGAGUUUAAUUUGAAUCACCUACCAUAUGUGUGUGUGUAAGUGUGUUUGAUCUGUUUGUGUGUCAGCACAUGGAUGCAAUUGUCACCCUGUGUGUGUGGCUCCUAAGGUCAUAAAACUGUAACAAAUAGCUGGAGUUGUAGCUCAGUAGUAAAGUACUUAGC